AUACGGAGGAUGCAAGCGUUAUCCGGAUUUAUUGGGUUUAAAGGGUGCGUAGGCGGUUUGCUAAGCGGGAGGUGAAAUGCCGGCGCUCAACGUCGGAAGUGCCUCCCGAACUGGUGGACUGGAAUGACUCUGCCGUGGGAGGAAUGUGUAGUGUAGCGGUGAAAUGCUUAGAGAUUACACAGAACACCGAUUGCGAAGGCAUCUCACGAAGGGUUGAUUGACGCUGAGGCACGAAAGCGUGGGGAUCAAACAGGAUUAGAUACCCUGGUAGUCCACGCAGUAAACGAUGAUGGCUAACCGCUGGUUUAUUCGGAUCAGUGGCCAAGCGAAAGCGAUAAGCCAUCCACCUGGGGAGUACGACCGCAAGGUUGAAACUCAAAUGAAUUGACGGG
rnacentral:rRNA from 1 species